UACGUAGGGUGCAAGCGUUGUCCGGAAUUAUUGGGCGUAAAGAGCUCGUAGGCGGUCUGUCGCGUCUGCUGUGAAAACCCGCAGCUCAACUGUGGGCUUGCAGCCGAUACGGGCGGGCUGGAGUUCGGUAGGGGAGACUGGAAUUCCUGGUGUAGCGGUGAAAUGCGCAGAUAUCAGGAGGAACACCCGUGGCGAAGGCGGCUCUCUGGGGACGGUACUGACGCUGAGACGCGAAAGCGUGGGGAGCGAACAGG
rnacentral:rRNA from 1 species